rnacentral:lncRNA from 1 species
UGUUAUAAAGGAACCUCCAUUUUAUAGUUUUCAAUCAGGGAAUUGUUUUAAAGAUUUUUAUUUAUUUAUUUUUUGUUACACAUUAUACAUCUGCAGUGUGUAUGUGGGAUGCCUUUGGAGACCAGAAGAGGAUUUGUGAAAUUAAAGAAGACUAGGGCUAUGCUGGAUCUGUGAGACAGAAGGAGCACUGACCCCUCAGGCAUCAUGUGGAGGAGCUGACUGGUUAUGAACUUUCACUAUGGACUAUAUAGGGCGUCUGAGAAGCAGAACGAUGCCGUCAACCCAGAAUCCAAACAACUUGGAAGUAUUGAGUGAAGGCAGAGACCCCGAAGCCACACAUAGAAUGCUUUACAAUCCUGUAAUUGUCCUCAAGGACAACAUGAGCAGAAAGGAGAUAGAACUUCACUUAAGCUGAAUGAAAUUCCAUUGGUACAAGCUUCACAUUUCAUCAUCUAAUCCCCUGUUAACACCACCUGGGAUGCUUCCAUUUCCUCACCAUUGGAAAAGAAUGGCAACAAACAUGGAGAUCUGGCCAGAAGAGUCCAAAGAAACCAGUUUCAGCCUCUGGUUCAAAGGAAGAAUUUGCAAGGAGAAUGAGAAGCUGUUAAUGUUGGCUUCUGCUCAGAGCCCCGCCCUAUUCACUCCUCAUGCCCACAUAGACUCUUCCCUGGCCAGGCAAGACAAUGAAAUCAUCCAUCCUUAACUGAUUAUGUGAAUCUCCCCGGGCUUAAAUAUGUGCCGAACUACAGGGACCAACCCAGGAAGCAAACAGCAGAUCAAGGAAUUGUCUGUCAAGACACAAGAAACACUGGGGACAGUUUAUGCUAAUGGGAGCAAUUUUUCCUAGACUUAAACAACACCAGACUCCAAAGCUCUGUGAGCAUUUGGCAGAAAUAAUCCAUAGACUUAUCUUUCUUGCUUACAGUGGCUUCUACCCAUAUCUCUUCUUUAUGGUCAUAGCAACCACACCUCAGGAAAGUAUACCACAGCUACACUUUCCUGGUUUAUUCUUCUGUAUUUUUAUCUGAACGCACUCUCACUUUCAGACGUGAAUUGUCUGCUUGGUUUACUGUUGUGUGUUUUGCCAAAUGGGCUUUUUUUCUCCUUCUCCACACACAUAUGUAGACUUGUGGUCACUGUACUAACUCCCUCAAAAGCUACUAAAGACCCCAAUGAUAGAAUCUAGUGAAUUGCAUUACCUUUAA